GCUUACCAUGCAGUCGAGGGGCAGCAUUUCAGUUUGCUUGCAAACUGGAGAUGGCGACCGGCGCACGGGUGAGUAACACGUAUCCAACCUGCCGAUAACUCGGGGAUAGCCUUUCGAAAGAAAGAUUAAUACCCGAUGGUAUAAUCAGACCGCAUGGUCUUGUUAUUAAAGAAUUUCGGUUAUCGAUGGGGAUGCGUUCCAUUAGGCAGUUGGUGAGGUAACGGCUCACCAAACCUUCGAUGGAUAGGGGUUCUGAGAGGAAGGUCCCCCACAUUGGAACUGAGACACGGUCCAAACUCCUACGGGAGGCAGCAGUGAGGAAUAUUGGUCAAUGGGCGCAGGCCUGAACCAGCCAAGUAGCGUGAAGGAUGACUGCCCUAUGGGUUGUAAACUUCUUUUAUAUGGGAAUAAAGUUUUCCACGUGUGGAAUUUUGUAUGUACCAUAUGAAUAAGGAUCGGCUAACUCCGUGCCAGCAGCCGCGGUAAUACGGAGGAUCCGAGCGUUAUCCGGAUUUAUUGGGUUUAAAGGGAGCGUAGGUGGACAGUUAAGUCAGUUGUGAAAGUUUGCGGCUCAACCGUAAAAUUGCAGUUGAUACUGGCUGUCUUGAGUACAGUAGAGGUGGGCGGAAUUCGUGGUGUAGCGGUGAAAUGCUUAGAUAUCACGAAGAACUCCGAUUGCGAAGGCAGCUCACUGGACUGCAACUGACACUGAUGCUCGAAAGUGUGGGUAUCAAACAGGAUUAGAUACCCUGGUAGUCCACACAGUAAACGAUGAAUACUCGCUGUUUGCGAUAUACAGUAAGCGGCCAAGCGAAAGCAUUAAGUAUUCCACCUGGGAGUACGCCGGCAACGGUGAAACUCAAAGGAAUUGACGG
rnacentral:rRNA from 1 species